AUGAGGGUAAUUGCAUACGGCAUUCCGGCUGACUAUGCCGAUGAGUACCUUCGCAUUGGUGAAGAUACCACAAUUGAGUCAGUGCGUAGGUUUGCCAAAGUGAUCUUCCGUGUCUUUGGUCCUGAAUAUCUUCGGGCACCCAAUGAGGAAGACACAAAAAAAUUGAUGGCAUCUAAUGAGAGAAGAGGUUGGCCUGGGAAUGUAUUGUGCCAAGUCUCGUGA
rnacentral:rRNA from 1 species